UCCUCCGUGGCGCAAUUGGCUAGCGCGUCUGACUGUUACGAUGAUCUUUGAUCCAUCGCAGCACAUCAGGAGGUUGACAGUUCAAGCCUGUCCGGGGGAG